rnacentral:rRNA from 1 species
UACGGAGGGUGCAAGCAUUGAUCGGAAUUACUGGGCGUAAAGGGCGCGUAGGCGGUAGAAUAAGUCAGAUGUGAAAUUCCGGGGCUCAACCCCGGAGCUGCAUUUGAAACUAUUCAACUAGAGUUCAGUUAGGGUAAACGGAAUUCCACGUGUAGCGGUGAAAUGCGUAGAUAUGUGGAAGAACACCGGUGGUGAAGACGGUUUACUGGGCUGAUACUGUCGCUGAGGCGCGAAAGCAAGGGGAUCAAACAGG